rnacentral:snRNA from 1 species
AGCCAUCAGGCUCCAAGCAUAAUGUUAAUCUUUGUUGUUUGGCUUUCGGUCUAGGUAGCCGAGAUGCCAUUCUCUAAGUUGUUUUAACACUUCUGGAAUUAUCAGUACUGCCAAUACUUGAUGUUCUAGAAGUGUUUUUAUUAUGUCUAGCAUGAGGCUUUUCACCUCCUUACGCAUAAUUUGUAAGUCAUCAACUAACCUACAAAUAUAAUUAUACUAAACAAGUGUUUAUUAAGCCAGUGUUUUUUUAAUUUGCAUAAAAAAAUAGGCAAGUACCGAAGUACCUGCCUAAAUAACAACAAGAUUAACAUGUGAAUAAUGGAAAUAAAAAGUCAG